rnacentral:rRNA from 1 species
ACAAGCGGUGGAGUAUGUGGUUUAAUUCGACGCAACGCGCAGAACCUUACCUAGACUUGACAUCCCGGGGAUUUUCUGGAAACAGAGAAGUGCUUUAGCAAUAAAGAACCCGGUGACAGGUGCUGCAUGGCUGUCGUCAGCUCGUGUCGUGAGAUGUUGGGUUAAGUCCCGCAACGAGCGCAACCCUCGCCUUUAGUUGCCAGCAUUCAGUUGGGCACUCUAGAGGGACUGCCGGUGUCAAACCGGAGGAAGUGGGGAUGACGUCAAGUCCUCAUGGCCUUUAUGUCUAGGGCUACACACGUACUACAAUGGCCGGUACAAAGGGCAGCCACUCAGCGAUGAGGCGCUAAUCCCAUAAAGCCGGUCUCAGUCCGGAUCGCAGUCUGCAACUCGACUGCGUGAAGUUGGAAUCGCUAGUAAUCGUAGAUUAGCAUGCUACGGUGAAUACGUUCCCGGGCCUU